CUUUUCUCCGCCGGCGACCGGCGCACGGGUGAGUAACACGUAGUGCAACCUGCCCCUGUCAGGGGGACAACCCGCCGAAAGGCGGGCUAAACCCGCGUACAUGCCACCGGGGCAUCCCGGAGGCAGGAAAGGCUUCGGCCGGACAGGGAUGGGCAUGCGGCGCAUUAGGCAGUAGGCGGGGUAACGGCCCACCUAACCGACGAUGCGUAGGGGUUCUGAGAGGAAGGUCCCCCACACUGGUACUGAGACACGGACCAGACUCCUACGGAAGGCAGCAG
rnacentral:rRNA from 1 species